CGGCUUAACAUGCAAGUCGAACGGUGAAACGGAGCUUGCUCUGUGGGAUCAGUGGCGAACGGGUGAGUAACACGUGAGCAACCUGCCCCUGACUCUGGGAUAAGCGCUGGAAACGGCGUCUAAUACUGGAUACGAGUAGCGGCCGCAUGGUCAGUUACUGGAAAGAUUUUUUGGUUGGGGAUGGGCUCGCGGCCUAUCAGCUUGUUGGUGAGGUAAAUGCUCACACCAAGGCGUCGACGGGUAGCCGGCCUGAGAGGGUGACCGGCCACACUGGGACUGAGACACGGCCCAGACUCCUACGGGAGGCAGCAGUGGGGAAUAUUGCACAAUGGGCGGAAGCCUGAUGCAGCAACGCCGCGUGAGGGAUGACGGCCUUCGGGUUGUAAACCUCUUUUAGCAGGGAAGAAGCGAAAGUGACGGUACCUGCAGAAAAAGCGCCGGCUAACUACGUGCCAGCAGCCGCGGUAAUACGUAGGGCGCAAGCGUUAUCCGGAAUUAUUGGGCGUAAAGAGCUCGUAGGCGGUUUGUCGCGUCUGCUGUGAAAUCCCGAGGCUCAACCUCGGGCCUGCAGUGGGUACGGGCAGACUAGAGUGCGGUAGGGGAGAUUGGAAUUCCUGGUGUAGCGGUGGAAUGCGCAGAUAUCAGGAGGAACACCGAUGGCGAAGGCAGAUCUCUGGGCCGUAACUGACGCUGAGGAGCG
rnacentral:rRNA from 1 species